ensembl:lncRNA
GUUUCAAAAUGCCAAAACCAUUUCAUUCUUUAAACAGUUGUUUAUCAAUUCAUUAAGAGCACUUUUUCCUCUAAAAUACAGGGAGGUUAAGUUUAUAACCCAUUAUGUGAUAAGUAAAUGCAAUGCUGGCAGAAGGAAUGAGGAAAAAGAUUAAAAAGAGGAAGAUUCUCAAAACAAUGCUUAGGUGUGGUGAAAAAAUCCUCUUAAUCCACCUGCAAUUUCAGGUAUUUCAUCAGUAAUACCUAAGUAAACUCAAAACUACAAGCUGAUGCCUGCAGUCACACUGUAUGAAGUUUGUGUCACUCCUCCCCUACAACCUACAACUCAGCUCCCAUUUGCUGGCUACUUUCAUCAGCACGUAAAAGACUGAACCAGAGUACAGUAUUACAUACACUGCUGCAGAUCACAAGGCAAAGGAAAUUACAAUCAAAAUCCAAGAAACCGAAGAAUGGAUCCCCGCCAGUUUUCCAAUCAGCCUCCAGAAGCCUACAAUUCAUCUGAGAAAUCAGGGAUGCCUACAGCAGCACCACCAGCAUACCAGCACAAUCCUGCUGGAUAUCCUCCUUCCUUUCCAAACCAGCCGGUCCCCCAGGGCCCCUACACCCAGGGACCAUAUCCAGGACAGCCUGUGGUCACUGUGCAGCCUGCAGUUUUUGUGACCGCCGCUCCACUGGCUGAUCCAGUGCCAGAUUACCUGGGUUACUCCAUCUUCACCAUGCUGUGCUGCUGCUUACCUCUGGGUAUCGCUGCACUAAUUUACUCCAUCUCUACUCGAGAUGCCUACUACUCAGGACAGCGAGAAUUAGCAGAGAAGAACUCCAAAAUGAUCAGUGACCACGACGCACGCAAACAAGGCACAGCGCAUGCGUAUUCUACAUCUGAGUCAGCAGCAUCACACGCAUGCCUCGUGGAACUCGCGUGAACGGCAGCAGAGGCAGACUGGACGAAAAGAAUUUGUUGAAUAAAGUCAUUAUUUUUGUUUUGUUUGUGCA